UUAACAAUUUAAGAUAGAAAACACAAAGUAAUAGAGAGAAAGAAAAGAGAAAACCCAUCAUCUUCUUCCUCUCAUGUGCGCCAACUCCAUCAACUCCAUAGCCAAGGGAUUUCUCAACCAAUCUUCUUCUUUUUUGAGGCAAAACAAUCAACAAGCAUAGAAGUUGUUCUUUAUUCCAGCGCUGUUCUUUUUUCCAGCUCGUCGUCGCAUCCUCUUCAGAAGCAGCUCGUCAUCAUCUUCUCCAGACCACCGGCGUCGUCCUUUAUGCAAUAGGUUGUCACGUCUCUUCCUCUAUGCCGUUCAUCAACAGCCACCGUACGUUCUGAAUCAACGGCGUCACAUCAUCUAUUCUCCAGCUGGUUUAAAUAAUAAAAUUUUAAAUAAUGGCAAAUACAUUAGGUAACUAUUAGUAAAAUUUUACUUUUUUUCAACAAAUACAUUGGCAAAUAAUUGUUUUUAUUAUAAUGGCAAAUACAUUAGGUAACUAUUAGUAAAAUUUUAUUAUUUAAAAAAAAAUCAAAUUGUUUUUUUGUUGAAAAAAUAAUUACAGCUGGUUUAAAAAAAUUGUUAUUUGUUUUUUAAGAAUCAUGUAUUUGAAUAAUCAUGUAUUUGUCAUUAUAUAUGGGAAUUACAUGUGAAUUUCUUGUUUU